GAACGACACGUUAAAAAGAUUAAUCGUUGUUUCGAUGCCGUACAGAGUGAUUCGUUUAAACUUGUCUUGUAAACGAUCAACAUUUCGCAUUUACGAUUCGAUUCAAACAGAUUCGAUCACAGGCCGCGAUAAACAUUGAUAAAGGCGAAGAAGAAAAUAUUCGUCGAGAAAAGUAAGAAGAUAAAAACGAACGAGUGAAAAAUUUGAUCAAAAGAUUGACUACGUUAAAAAAUAUAUUCAUAAACACACAAUAAGCAAAACUCUAUACAUUUAAUCUUCGAUCAUCUUCCUCUCCUUUUAAUACGCUAAUACAGGAACACAUAAUACAUUAAGUAUUAUUUAAAUUCGAAAACUCUUCGAUGUAUUAUAAUUUUCAACUAAGCCGAAGAUUAAUGAAUAUCAGGACGAAUAAAUAGACGAAAAGACUAGACUAUAGAGAACGACUUGCACACGAUCCGGAAUGAAGAAACGGAGGUGGGAGGCGGAGGAAGAGAGAGAACCGCAGGUGGGAAAGGGGUGAGGAAGAGGCGUUAAGGGUGAAAUUCCGAAAGUCCGGAAUGGUAGAGAGUGGAAGAAGCAACUGGUAAGAGAAAAGGACGGUGUUUAGGGAUAGGAGGAGAAAAGGUGGAAGAAAACGCGCAGUGGAGAGGGAAAAAGGGUCGAGGAGGAUUCCAGGAGCGUAUCGAAGGGGAGAGUAACCUGUUGCGGCGCACGCAUACCCCGCUUUCCAUCCUUCUUCGUCCCCCUCGUGGGGCUCGCUUUGUCGCGCGCGUGCAAGCAGAGCACUCACACAAACGUCCCGUUAUAUGCGCCCUCUCUGUCCCGCUCGUCAAUGAGCAACUCCACGUUCACCCUACCAACGGGACAACCCGACCACCACCCUCUGGCUCUAGCUACGAUCCACGAAUCGCCGUUUUCUGGCAUACGAACCCUGGCGCAGGGAGCGCAUACACGGUCGAGAGUAGUUUAGUCGGAGCCAGGCCACAGCACAGUCGACGACCUAGGCUGGUCUCCUCCAACAGGAGCCUGUUUUGAAAACGGACGCUCAACGUUUCCAGAGUGGCGGCAGGAUCGGAUAGGAUAGGAUAAAAUGUACGCAUAUACUACGUGGUGAACGAAACGAUAUCUCGAGGAACACGAGGAACAAGAGGAGGAGGAGGAGAAGGAGGAAAAAAGGAGGAGGACGUGUUUCCCGCUCGAUAGAAGGAGAUCCAGUUCCACCGGUUGAUAUUCGAGCCCAGCUGACCCGGUUGAAAUCGUUCUCGGCUGCUUCGGAUCGAAUACGAAAGCGGAUCUUUCCUCGCCUCGAGAACGCGGCGGUACACGCGAGGAUCCAUCGUCGGUCGGAGAAUUAUCUCGUGAUCUUUAUCGCGUGUACGCCGGAAAAAAAAGAAGAAGA